UACGUAGGUGGCAAGCGUUGUCCGGAAUUAUUGGGCGUAAAGCGCGCGCAGGCGGUUUCUUAAGUCUGAUGUGAAAGCCCACGGCUUAACCGCGGAAGGUCAUUGGAAACUGGGAGACUUGAGUGCAGAAGAGAAGAGCGGAAUUCCACGUGUAGCGGUGAAAUGCGUAGAGAUGUGGAGGAACACCAGCGGCGAAGGCGGCUCUUUGGUCUGUAACUGACGCUGAGGCGCGAAAGCGUGGGGAUCAAACAGG
rnacentral:rRNA from 1 species